GUUCAAAAAUAUAAUUUGUUAUUUGCUCUUUAGGCGCUAGAUAACCAAAAAAUAAUAUCGUUACAUUAAAAACAUUGCUGAGUCAUCGGCAACCUCGAAAGACCAUUGUAUUCAGAGACGUAUACUGUAUUGUGCCGUUCGCGAGUUUACCAGGUGAGUUUUUUUUCUCUCGUUUCAAGUUAGACAAAUGGGUCUGUGAUGUUGCCAGCCGGGCUACGAAUUAUUGUACGAUGUUUGUGAAUAUCGAUGUAGUGAAAGAUUCCUGCUGCGUAUUUCGAAAGGAAGUGCUUCGUAGAAGCUGCUUGUGCCAUGGGCUUAUGUGUCACCCCUUCCCCCACCACUUGGAAAGUUGCUCGACGAAACCACGGCGCAAGGAAACAUUUAGUCGUCUCAUUUCGUACCGAUAACAUGGAUGGUGUUGCGUCAGAUUUUUCGGAACCUCCAUUUCUUCUAUUGGCCUUUUAACGGUUCCUGUCUGAUGUUAGUCUCUCGGAUGAUAUUCGCUGGGAUAGCGCAGCAUCCACGGUAACGUCCUCUGUUUCUCUGCUUCGAACGGUGAGUCGCAUGCAUUUCUGUUUCUCCGGUCACUCAAUCAUGUCGUAGGACGAAAGGUCCGAAUCGGCACGGGUGACUGGUUGUAUUACGUAGAAUUUUUUGCGAGCAUAGUGAACGCGGGUAUCUUUUAUACCUGUGAGUAGUAACGUUCUUUUUUCAAAUUUUUUAGUUUGGAAUAGGUCUUCUUGCACAGCGCGAUUAUAAUAAUUAGUUCUUUAAUAAUUAGGUUAAACAUAUACACUUGAGAAUAUAUUCGUGUUAUUUAUAAAUAUGCAUGUUAAUAUUCCGUACGAAUAUUUGCAAAUGGCAAUAUCUACACGAAUAUACCUGUAUGACAUAAAUAUACUUGAUCUUAAGCAAUGAAUUGAUCGUUAUUGAGAUAUGUAUAAUUUUGUGUACUGAACUAGGUUAAAUGCGUAGUAGAGAUAUUUGUAUGUGGGUAUCAGUGUGUGGAGGUAUGUAUGGGCGCGGCGUUUGAAAAACAGACGAAUGUAAACAGUUCAAACGGUUAACAGUCGAUUAAAGGUCGGAUGUGGAAGAAAGUGCUGAGACGCGUGCAAGUGUGUAUCGAUGAAUAUUCUAGAAAUCGUUUAUAAAAUAAAUAUAUAUCUCCGUUAAUAUUAAUCCCAAGUGUAAAUUUAAUGUUUCCAUAACAAUAUUUCGGCCAUCAAGAUCCACAAUUCUCAACAAUCGUUACAAUAUUAAGUCGCGUUUCUUUAUUUCACUUUGGUUAGAAUUUAAAAUAUCUGUUAAGAUUCAUUUUUUUCCGUACAAGAAUGUGUGAAAUUUUAGGUGCAAGAAGACACUUUGCGACAGGCAGAUUUUUGAAUCAAAGCAAUAAUUAUGAACACUGCAUCUGUAUUUUCGAUUAU
rnacentral:misc_RNA from 1 species